rnacentral:rRNA from 1 species
UUGUUGGCGACGGCGACCGGUGGGGUGGGAGUGCAGGUGGCCACCAAGUUCGGGGUCAAGUUCACCGAGGCGCCGCCGGGGUGAGAGUUCUGCGGCUCGCCGGCGUACGUCCGGCAGGCGUGCGAGGCCAGCCUGCGGCGCCUAGGAGUCGACUGCAUCGAUCUCUACUACCAGCACCGCAUCGACACCCGUCUGCCCAUCGAGAUCACGAUGGGGGAGCUGAAGAAGCAGGUGGAGGAGGGGAAGAUAAAGUACGUGGGCUUGUCGGAGGCCUCCGCUUCCAUCAUAAGAAGAGCCCAUGCCGUUCAUCCCAUCACCGCGGUGCAGCUCGAGUGGUCCCUCUGGACCACAGACUCUGAAGAUGAGAUCAUCCCUACCUGCAGGGAGCUUGGCAUCGGCAUAGUGGCAUACAGCCCCCUUGGCGGGGGAUUCUUCGGCUCAGGAGCAAAGUCGGCAGAUAAUCUGUCAGACCACGACGUCCGCAAGAAUCUGCCUCGGUUCCAAGCCGACAACCUGGAGCACAACCAGUUGAUCUUCGAGAGGGUGAACGAGAUGGCGACGAGGAAAGGAUGCACGCCGUCGCAGCUCACUCUGGCCUGGGUACACCACUAGGGACCGGACGUGUGCCCGAUCCCGGGGAUUACUAAGAUGGACAACUUCGACAGCAACCUCGCGGCGCUCGCCCUCAGGCUUACCCCGGAGGAGAUGGAGCUAGAAUCUUACGCCGCCGCGGACGCUGUGAAAGGGUUCAGGACCUACAAUGCAGCGAACACGUGGAUGAGCUCGGAUACCCCUCCGCUCGAGUCGUUCAAGGGAGAGUGA